rnacentral:pre_miRNA from 8 species
GCUGUCUCCAUGGCGACCGUGGCUUUAGAUUGUUACUGUAGAGACGGUAACAUGGUAACAGUCUACAGCCAUGGUCGUUAGGGUGCAU